ACUUGAAGUCAGGUUUUCUUCCGUCCUGAUGCUUCCAUCUCACAUAUGGGCAGUUUAACAGCAAGAAGCCACGUCCGGGCAACACGGAAGUUCUCACAAAGAGGCGUCUAGAACCUCCACUACGUGAAGUUCAAAGCGAGAAAAUAUUUUAUCUGCUGAAUGAUUAAUUCCAAAAGAAAGAAGCAAAUUACCAAGAUCAAGAGUACCAGAGACCGUGGGUGCUGGGGCUCUUGUCCAUGGAAAAUGCAUGAAGCACAGACGCUGUGCCGGUGACCCUAGCUUCCAGUGUCUUCUGCUUGCUUCCUGAGUCUCGCCUGAGUCUGGUGACAUAUUUUGAUGUAUUAAUAUUUCUGGAAUUCUGCAUAAUGGAUGAGUUGCAGAGCGUGAUGGAAGAGGAAUCAGAGGACACCCAUCUCCACGGUACGCACACUCUGGGCCCAAGAUUGCUAAUUCUGACGUCCAAUCUGCCAUUUGAUACCAGCAGUGUGAGUUGUCAACACAAAUAAUAAAUUGACAGACAGGAGGAGGAGCUGGCUCACGUCUCUGGAGGAAGUUUCCAGACACCGAUUGCUGCAUGAAUUUGCAUCAAGACUGAACAGCAGGAGACGAUUCCCCCAAGCUCCUGGUCACUGGACUCAGGCAGGGGACAGACUCCUUGACUGGUCUUUCUGAGGCCCUUGAGUGCAAUCCUCGUGGCAGUACCUGCGGGGAAGACGCUGAGGCUGUGGUGAAGGAAGACUGCAGGUGGUCUAUUCUCAGCUGACCCUCCUGGGUGUCUCUGGACCCCAUAUCAGACUUCGUUGCCACACACCCAUUAUAGAAGUUUAAGGAAUUUUGAGGUAAGCAUGAGAGCAUUAGCAGGCUCAUUAGCCUGCUUCCUGAGUCAGCUGUCAACAUUCUGCCUUCAAAUUCAAGAUGAAUGAAAACAGAACAUGAGCGGAAAGACUUGUGAUCGACUGGGGAGGUGGACAUU
ensembl:lncRNA